GAGGUGCUAGUAAAACAAUUACCUUGUUUUGUCAAGACAAAAUUGUGGGUUAGAGCCCCACGUACCUUA
rnacentral:tRNA from 1 species